UUAUUAAAGUAUUAAAGCAAUCAGUAAUUACUAUUCUUUUACUGAAUUUUUAGUUAAAUCAACUUUAAAAAAGAUUUUUUCUUGUAUUUUCUUCACAUGAUAAAUGUUCACAGCCUCAUCUGGGCUUUUUUAUACCAGGCUGUUUAUUACAGAAAGGCCGAGCUAAGAAUAACUCAGAGACAGCUUCUUACAUAACCCUGCAGAAUAUAUUCUGGUGAGGAUGACAGAUCCUAACCAUAUUGAAUUGGCUUUUUUUCCACCAGGCUUGAACCAGAUUAACCAACAUCAAAUUAGAUCACUGUGAUGAAUCUCAAAUCAGCUUUUAAAUCGGCUCUGCCAACAGCCUAAGUGCUUACUCUGGGGCCAUGCCAAAAGAAGCAGACAGCCUCAGAACAAUAGCCCAGACGUAGAUUGCAGACACACCUAACCUCACAUCAACGGCUCCAAAACGCACUGGAAUUGUAUGGGGUCACUGGGGAAAGACUGAAGACAAACAACCCACUCACGUAUCAGAGAAUGUCACUCACAUCAACAGUGGGAUUCUCAAGAUGUUACUCAGCACAGCCAUUCGUUACAGCAGUAACCUGGUCUAAACCUGGCGACCAAACACUUCCUGACACUGAUACUUCCUCUGACCUUCAGCCUGUGCCAGACACACAC